CUACCAUGGCGUUUACGGGUAACGGAGGAUUAGGGUUCGAUUCCGGAGAGGGAGCCUGAGAAACGGCUACCACAUCUAAGGAAGGCAGCAGGCGCGUAAAUUACCCAAUCCUGACUCAGGGAGGUAGUGACAAGAAUUAACGGACCGAGGCCUUCUGGCUUCGGGAUUGCAAUGAGCCGAAUUUACACCCCUUAGCGAAAACGAUUGGAGGGCAAGUCUGGUGCCAGCAGCCGCGGUAAUUCCAGCUCCAAUAGCGUAUAUUAAAGUUGUUGCAGUUAAAAAGCUCGUAGUUGGAUUUCUGGGAGGGUGCCAAUGUCCGUCAACGUGCGUGUGCAGCGGCGCCCUUCCAUCCUUCUGUUAACGCCUCUGGGCAUUUAUUUGCUGGGGGCGGGCUCAGAUAUUUUACCUUGAGAAAAUUAGAGUGUUUCGGGCAGGCUAGGCCGGAAUACAUUAGCAUGGAAUAAUAGAAUAGGACUAUGGUCUCUUUGUUGGUUUGAGGGACUAUGGUAAUGAUUAAUAGGGAUAGUUGGGGGCAUUAGUAUUUAAUUGUCAGAGGUGGAAUUCUCAGAUUUGUUAAAGACUAACUUAUGCGAAAGCAUUUGCCAAGGAUGUUUUCAUUAAUCAA
rnacentral:rRNA from 1 species